ACCAUUUCAUCCUUACCAAACAGCCCUUUCUCCUUCACCUAACAGCCCUAACGUCACCACCCAUCGCCGCCACCCUUGUCACGUCCGUCACCUCACCACCACCACGCCCAUAUCCCACAAAAUCCGCUACCUACACCCCUCUUCUCCUUUCUCACACUCCAUCUCUGAAGCUUGCAGGAACCAUGUGCAAAUUCAGCAGAUUUCAUGGUUCUCGACUCAACAACAAGCUUUUCAAGCGGAUUCGGAGACUUGACAACGACAAGCCUCAGUUCGCUGUCCCGAAAAAGGUAUGGAUUUGCAUUGGGGUACAACAAAUGACGAAGAUCCAGGACACCACAAAAUGGAGUUGUACAUUUAGACAUAGGAAAUUGUGUUUACUUUACUUAGAUUAGGAAAUACUUUACGUUGUAUUCAUUUGGUAUGUAAUAAAAUUACAAUACUUUUGUACUUUAUUUCGGGAAUUAAAACUUGUUUAAUUAGCCAAAAGCAACGGGAUGACGUAUUAUGACACACUUUUCCCUUCAAACAAACGUUAGGCCUACCUCUGGCACAAAGAGGUCACAUGCAUA